UCCUCCUUAGCUCAGCUGGUUAGAGCACAUGACUGUUAAUCAUGGGGUCCUUGGUUCGAGCCCAAGAGGGGGAGCCUGCU
rnacentral:tRNA from 1 species